rnacentral:rRNA from 1 species
GUAGGUGGCAAGCGUUGUCCGGAAUUAUUGGGCGUAAAGCGCGCGCAGGCGGUUUUUUUAAGUCUGAUGUGAAAGCCCACGGCUCAACCGUGGAGGGUCAUUGGAAACUGGAGAACUUGAGUACAGAAGAGGAAAGCGGAAUUCCACGUGUAGCGGUGAAAUGCGUAGAGAUGUGGAGGAACACCAGUGGCGAAGGCGGCUUUCUGGUCUGUAACUGACGCUGAGGCGCGAAAGCGUGGGGAGCAAGCAGGGAUUAGAUACCCUGGUAGUCCACGCCGUAAACGAUGAGUGCUAAGUGUUAGGGGGUUUCCGCCCCCUUAGUGCUGCAGCUAACGCAUUAAGCACUCCGCCUGGGGAGUACGGCCGCAAGGCUG